rnacentral:rRNA from 1 species
AUUGAACGCUGGCGGCAGGCCUAACACAUGCAAGUCGAACGAGUGGCGGACGGGUGAGCAAUGCUUGGGCCUCUAGCUUAUGGAGGGGGAUAACUACGGGAAACUGUUGCCAAUACCGCGUACCAUAGGCUGAGCCCAGGUGGGAUGAGGUAGUUGGGGGGGUAAAGGCUCACCAAGCCGACGAUCUCUAGCUGGUCUGAGAGGAUGAACAGCCACACUGGGAAUGAGACACGGCCCAGACUCCUACGGGAGGCAGCAGUGGGGAAUAUUGCGCAAUGGGGGAAACCUGACGCAGCCAUGCCGCGUGAAUGAAGAAGGCCUUCGGAUUGUAAAGUUCUUUCGGUAGGGAGGCGUUAACUACAGAAGAAGCACCGGCUAACUCCGUGCCAGCAGCCGCGGUAAUUC